rnacentral:sRNA from 1 species
UCCAAGUCCUGAUAGAACUGACAUGCUUUUUUACCGAUGUUUGACAUAAAAAAAUAUAGCAGGAAAUAGU